UACGGAGGUGGCAAGCGUUACUCGGAUUUACUGGGUGUAAAGGGCACGUAGGCGGCUCAAUAAGCCCUGUUUGAAAUGUGCGGGCUUAACCUGCACACGUGGCAGGGGACUGUUGAGCUUGAGGAUGGCAGAGGUAGGCGGAAUUCCCGGUGUAAGGGUGAAAUCUGUAGAUAUCGGGAGGAACACCAGUGGCGAAAGCGGCCUACUGGGCCAUUUCUGACGCUGAGGUGCGAAAGCUAGGGGAGCAAACAGG
rnacentral:rRNA from 1 species